UCAACCAGGGAGGGUCAUUGGAAACUGGAGAACUUGAGUGCAGAAGAGGAAAGUGGAAUUCCAUGUGUAGCGGUGAAAUGCGUAGAUAUAUGGAGGAACACCAGUGGCGAAGGCGACUUUCUGGUCUGUAACUGACGCUGAGGCUCGAAAGCAUGGGGAGCAAACAGGAUUAGAUACCCUGGUAGUCCAUGCCGUAAACGAUGAGUGCUAAGUGUUGGAGGGUUUCCGCCCUUCAGUGCUGCAGCUAACGCAUUAAGCACUCCGCCUGGGGAGUACGACCGCAAGGUUGAAACUCAAAGGAAUUGACGGGGGCCCGCACAAGCGGUGGAGCAUGUGGUUUAAUUCGAAGCAACGCGAAGAACCUUACCAGGUCUUGACAUCCUUUGACCACUCUAGAGAUAGAGCUUUCCCUUCGGGGACAAAGUGACAGGUGGUGCAUGGUUGUCGUCAGCUCGUGUCGUGAGAUGUUGGGUUAAGUCCCGCAACGAGCGCAACCCUUAUUAUUAGUUGCCAGCAUUCAGUUGGGCACUCUAGUGAGACUGCCGGUGAUAAACCGGAGGAAGGUGGGGAUGACGUCAAAUCAUCAUGCCCCUUAUGACCUGGGCUACACACGUGCUACAAUGGAUGGUACAACGAGUCGCAAAACCGCGAGGUUAAGCUAAUCUCUUAAAGCCAUUCUCAGUUCGGAUUGUAGGCUGCAAUUCGCCUACAUGAAGCCGGAAUCGCUAGUAAUCGCGGAUCAGAACGCCGCGGUGAAUACGUUCCCGGGCCUUGUACACACCGCCCGUCACACCACGAGAGUUUGUAACACCCAA
rnacentral:rRNA from 1 species